rnacentral:lncRNA from 1 species
GGCGAAUUGGUGGAUGAUCUCAACAACCCCCUCAUGUCCAUGGACUGCUUCAUCUUCCUCUGACCUUAUUCAGUUAUUCUUAUCCAUUUUCCUCUACUGUACUGUAAUUGUCGUCUGAAUCGAGUCUGUGUCCUCUUCUCCCCUCCCCCUUUGAUCGAUUGUGUGAUUUUAAGUACUAGCAAAAUAUGCCUGUGCGUUGUACCGGAAAAAAAAACACGUCGCUUCCACAUAUUUUGUCUUUAAAAACUGCAUGUUCGUGUUUGAAGGCUCAUCCACAUCGGCAUGUUGUGGUUCUGUCUAGUUCAUCUAAUAAACAUAUAA